GGGAGGUCCCGGGCGAAGGCUGCCCGCCGUCAGGCCAGCUAGGCCUUCCCAGGGAUGAGUCCCUUUGGAGUGCCCUCCAGGACUCGCACUCAGAAGGAAUGCUGCCCAAUCCGUGGGGGAAGUUAUAACCCAAACCGGAAGAGUUCAGUUUAAAUUCAUGUUAGACUAUGCAGGAAAAGGAGAGACCCGUCUCCUUAAAAACAAUUUAAAGUGGCCUCUUAGGAAUACUCUCGAGUGUAACAACUCAGACUAUCCAGGAAAUGAUAAAUACAAACAGUCAUCAGAAAUGAUAGCUCACUUACUAAGAUUUCUCCCUUUGAGUCAGAUUUCAACACAUAACAUGCUUGUAUGUGUGCAUAUCUGAGGAGCUUAUGUUGGCGUUCAUAGUUUUUAAACGUUAAGAAUAUACUUUCUCAGGAUCUCACUAUGUCCACCAAGCUGGUCUUUAAACUCACAAGAGAACUACUUGCCAACCUAGUCCUGGGAUUAAAGGUGUACACCAUCAGGCCCGGCUAGAACUCCUGGACAACCUUGAGUCUCACUGAAGGGAACACUGCUUGGCUACAAGGAGCAACAUUUCAGAGUGAAACUGCACUUCUGCUGACACUGCAGGUACAUGGCAUUCAACAACAGUGACUACUAGCAGUGUCGAAUGCCAGUGUUGAGCAACCCAACCUACAGUGCCUCUGUACCAUCAGGAGAUGUCAACACUAGGAAACAGUCAAAUAAUCUAUCAGUCUGAUGACAGCAGUUCUGACUUGAAGGCGCCAAAGUGUCUUGGAAAUAUCCAUAUCCAUGAAUUGCAGUUUAAGGACUAUCGUCUAUAGAAUUACAUGCCUGGGACAAGGCACAGAGGGACUCCGAAUGCCUGAGGGACCAGCAGAUACACAACCCUUACCUCACUCUCAAUCUCAACAGAGUGGAGACUGGAACUGCCUACAUUAAAUUCCUAUCUGACUA